rnacentral:tRNA from 1 species
GCCAAGGUGGCGUAGCCCGGGAACGCACUAGAAUUAUCAGUAAUCUAGGUAUCGAGAGUUCAAAAAAAAAACUCCCUUCGAGCUUUUUGGGGUCUCUCUCCCUUGGCA